UACAGAGGGUGCGAGCGUUAAUCGGAAUCAUUGGGCGUAAAGCGCGCGUAGGUGGCUUCGUAAGUCCGUUGUGAAAGUCAAAGGCUCAACCUUUGAAAGCCGAUGGAUACUGCGGAGCUAGAGUACGGAAGAGGCGAGUGGAAUUCCUGGUGUAGCGGUGGAAUGCGCAGAUAUCAGGAGGAACACCAAUAGCGAAGGCAGCUCGCUGGGACGUUACUGACACUGAGGCGCGAAAGCGUGGGGAGCGAACAGG
rnacentral:rRNA from 1 species